CCUACGGGAGGCAGCAGUAGGGAAUUUUGCGCAAUGGGCGAAAGCCUGACGCAGCAACGCCGCGUGAUCGAGACGCCCUUCGGGGUGUAAAGAUCUGUCAGUGGGGACGACACUUGACGGUACCCACAGACGAAGCACCGGCUAACUCCGGGCCAGCAGCCGCGGUUAUACGGGGGGUGCAAGCGUGGUCCGGAAGCAUUGGGCGUAAAGAGUUCGUAGGCGGCACGUAAAGUCUGGUGGUAAAGGCAGAGGCGCAACUUCUGUACGGCACUGGAUACUUGCGAGCUAGAAUGCGGUGGAGGUAAAGGGAAUUCCUGGUGUAGCGGUGAAAUGCUUAGAUAUCGGGAGGAACAUCGGUGGCGAAGGCGCUUUACUGGGCCGUAAUUGACGCUGAGGAACGAAAGCCAGGGUAGCAAAUGGGAUUAGAUACCCGGGUAGUC
rnacentral:rRNA from 1 species